GUGUCUUUCUGGCAGGGGAGACACUGUGAUCACCAAGGCAGUUCUCCCAGGGCGAGGCUCACCCAUUGCACUCCGGGUGUGCUGACCCGGGGGGGCAGAGUCAAUUACAAAGUAAACAUAAUAAAAAAUGAGAAUUUUGUGUUCUAAUCACAGUGGUAUUGUGCACAUUUCACUU
rnacentral:snRNA from 1 species